UUGUUUCAUGAAAGAAAGCUGGCAUUCCCCUUGACAAGGAUGGAAGAGGUCCUAAUGGCCUGCAACACAAAUACAGUUAAGGCACUACCACCUACUUUUUGGUAUCUUUUACCAUACUUGUUU